GGCGUCCCGGCCCCAGCACCCGCGCUCCUCCCAGCCUCUCGAGGUUCUCGGGCGCCCGGGCCCCCAACCAGGCGGGCCCCAAACCCGGCCUCAGUGUCUUUUCCGGGAACCCAAGCACUCUCGCCCCUCGCCCCUCGCCCCUUAGUUCGGGGCCUUGGGUCCCGCACCCUCCCCCCACGGCCAGCAGGUCUUCGCGCAGCGCGGGGCUGGGACAAGCCGAAGGAGAGGCUGUGGACCCCGACUUGGGACGCCGCGAGAGCAGGGCUGAUGCGGGGCCUGGGCCGCAGCGCCCUCUGCUGGCUACCCCCAGGGGCGGGCCCGGGCUUCGAGGAGCCUAGAGAAGGGGGACUCGGGUCUGUGAUCUGCACAGCUGGUGGUAGUUGGCACUUCCUUAGCCAGAGGCAACAUGCAAGAACACUUACAUUCAACCACCAAUGCAUGGACAUUGGGGCACUCACAGCCAUGCACACAUAUCUGUGAACACUGGGCAUUCCCAGAGACACAUAAGAACACCUGCAGAAAUGCCCCACCAUGGUAACACACCCACAGGAAGCAUAUACUGCCCAAGAACACACACACUUGUGCACAC
rnacentral:lncRNA from 1 species